rnacentral:rRNA from 1 species
GACGAACGCUGGCGGCGUGCUUAACACAUGCAAGUCGAACGGAAAGGCCCUGCUUUUGUGGGGUGCUCGAGUGGCGAACGGGUGAGUAACACGUGAGUAACCUGCCCUUGACUUUGGGAUAACUUCAGGAAACUGGGGCUAAUACCGGAUAGGAGCUCCUGCUGCAUGGUGGGGGUUGGAAAGUUUCGGCGGUUGGGGAUGGACUCGCGGCUUAUCAGCUUGUUGGUGGGGUAGUGGCUUACCAAGGCUUUGACGGGUAGCCGGCCUGAGAGGGUGACCGGCGCCAGUGGAACGUAUGAACGGGCCAGACGCCUACGGGGGGCAGACGCGGGGAAUGUUGCGCGAGGGGCGGAAUGCUAAUGCAGUAACUCCGCGGUCGGGAUGACGGCCGUCGGGUUGUAAAACGAUGUCGCCUGUAAAGAAGAGUGAGUGACGGUAAUGAGUAAAGAAGCGCCGGCUACCUACGUG